CCAUUUAGAGUGAAAAUGAUCUCAAGAAUAAUAAUCUUUUUAGUGUUUUCUAGUAUUUUAGAAUGGCAGCUGACCGAUGCUUUAUACUCUUAUGGAACUUCAAAGAGAAUGAGGCAGAAGUUGGUGAUGAUGAAUUUUGAGCUGUUUAAAGAUUCAAAGUCGAAAGUUCAGGCGAUAUGGCCAUACAGGAAGCAUUAUUCCAACCACUCGUCUUUCCAGCUGGCACGAGUAGUGUAUACUAUUCGCCGAAUGUAUAACCGAAUGAUAUUUUUAUUCUUCAAAGUCCUGGAUAAAUUUGACACACUCAACCAG